CCAGACUCCUACGGGAGGCAGCAGUGGGGAAUAUUGGGCAAUGGGCGCAAGCCUGACCCAGCGACGCCGCGUGAGGGAAGACGGUCUUCGGAUUGUAAACCUCUUUCAGCAGGGAAGACAAAAGGACGGUACCUGCAGAAGAAGCCACGGCUAACUACGUGCCAGCAGCCGCGGUAAUACGUAGGGGGCAAGCGUUAUCCGGAUUUACUGGGUGUAAAGGGAGCGUAGACGGCGAUGCAAGCCAGAUGUGAAAGCCCGGGGCUCAACCCCGGGACUGCAUUUGGAACUGUGUGGCUGGAGUGUCGGAGAGGCAAGUGGAAUUCCUAGUGUAGCGGUGAAAUGCGUAGAUAUUAGGAGGAACACCAGUGGCGAAGGCGGCUUGCUGGACGAUGACUGACGUUGAGGCUCGAAAGCGUGGGGAGCAAACAGGAUUAGAUACCCGAGUAA
rnacentral:rRNA from 1 species